rnacentral:rRNA from 1 species
AAUGAACGCUGGCGGCGUGGAUUAGGCAUGCAAGUCGAACGCGAAAGUUCCCUUCGGGGAGCGAGUAGAGUGGCGAAAGGGUGAGUAAUGCUUGGAUGACCUGCCCUCGAGACGGGGACAACAGUUCGAAAGGACUGCUAAUACCCGAUAGUCCGGUUUAGAUGCGUCUAGAUCGGUAAAUGGUGCUUCCGCUCGAGGAGGGGUUCAAGUCCUAUCAGCUUGUUGGUGGGGUAACGGCCUACCAAGGCUACGACGGGUAGCUGGUCUGAGAGGAUGAUCAGCCACACUGGCACUGAGAUACGGGCCAGACUCCUACGGGAGGCAGCAGUGAGGAAUAUUGCGCAAUGGGCGAAAGCCUGACGCAGCGACGCCGCGUGGGGGAUGAAGGUUUUCGGAUUGUAAACCCCUUUCAUGAGGAAAGAUAAAGUGGGUAACCACUUAGACGGUACCUCAAGAAGAAGCCACGGCUAACUUCGUGCCAGCAGCCGCGGUAAU